AGUGAACGCUGGCGGUAGGCCUAACACAUGCAAGUCGAACGGCAGCACAGUAAGAGCUUGCUCCUACGGGUGACGAGUGGCGGACUGGUGCGGAAUACACCGGAAUCUACUUUUUCGUGGGGGAUAACGUAGGGAAACAUACGCUAAUACCGCAUACGACCUACGGGUGAAAGCAGGGGAUCUUCGGACCUUGCGCGAUUGAAUGAGCCGAUGUCGGAUUAGCUAGUUGGCGGGGUAAAGGCCCACCAAGGCGACGAUCCGUAGCUGGUCUGAGAGGAUGACCAGCCACACUGGAACUGAGACACGGUCCAGACUCCUACGGGAGGCAGCAGUGGGGAAUAUUGGACAAUGGGCGCAAGCCUGAUCCAGCCAUGCCGCGUGGGUGAAGAAGGCCUUCGGGUUGUAAAGCGCUUUUGUUGGGAAAGAAAAGCAGCAGGUUAAUACCCCGCUGUUAUGACGGUACCCAAAGAAUAAGCACCGGCUAACUUCGUG
rnacentral:rRNA from 1 species